rnacentral:lncRNA from 1 species
GGGCGGCCGCGGAGCUGGGGCCUGGGAGGGGACGGUCCUGCCGGGAGGAGGCGGAGGCAGGACAGGGUGGGGUUGCGGGCCCGGCGCCGCCCCUCCCGGCUCCUGGCUCCCCUCGCCUGGUGUCCCGCGCCUGGCCGGGAGGCGGCGGGUCUCGAUCGCGCGGGCCUCCCUGGAGGGGCGCGGGCUCUGGCGGCGGGGAGGCCCCUGCUCAGCGCAAUGGCGGGCUUGCAUCCUUGGGUGAUUUUUUCGGGCCCCUUGUGGCCUUUGCUCACGCCUAGAGAGCAAACCACCCGCACCACCCAGGAGCAGAUAAAAUCGAGACCACAGCCUCCAAGGGAGCGCGCCUCCAUCCUGUUUGCCCCUCGGGUCGCCGUCUGAGGGCGGGCCCGUGCCCGCUCAGAGCCUACAUCCGAGUCGUAUAAAGCGCUGACAGCAGAGAAAGCUGCGGCUUUGCUCCGUGCAGAUGAGCAGGGGCUGAGGGAGGACGCUGUGCUCUCAGUAGCCGCGCUUGGCCCGGGGACCCUGCAGGCUUAGAAACGUGAGUCACGCCUGCAGCGUGGCGAGGAAACGCCGUUGAUGUGGCAUCCUCAGCCUGGGGUUGUGGCUUUAAGCCAGAAGGUCAAAAAAAGAAGUCUUCCUGAGCUGAGACUGCCCUGAGUCGCUUUAGGGGCGAAAUUCCGAGCAUCCGGUUGCAUUUCCUGAGGAUGACACGCGUGGUGGGUGUGGACGGCCUACAGGGGUCCAUCCUCAGCGGCCCCUCUGCAGGGCAGUCUCGCUCUCACUCUCCCAGCUGACUCCUCUCAAGCCUGUUAACCAUUGUACACGUUCCCAAGGACUCCAAGCAGGUUGGACUUCAGGGAACAUUGCAGUUUGGGUCUUGGCCAUUGUUUACACUCCACCUUGCAUAAGUGCUUGAGGAUCACACAACCAGAUACGUAGAUCAUCCGUAGAUCAUCGCAGUCACAUCGAAGAUUUGUUUAUAAUAGGAAAAAAAAAAGCUACCCACUGUCAUGCGCUGGGAAACUAGGAGUGUGGGUGUGGCAGCAACCCAGCAUCUACCAUGCCGACCAUGUGCCAUGCCAUGCACCGCGUGUCGUAACAGGACAACAGAGCAAGAGACCCAGCAGACAGGGGUCCCCAGCAACCUCAUGAAGCGCCAUCCACUCACCUCCAGACAGUCUGGGGAGAGAGACUGAAACUUCUGUCUAAGCCACUUCAUCUUUGAUCUCCUUGUUUUUGUGGUUCAGGUUGUAUCUUAAUAAAUAAAACGUGUUUGAGUUCAUGUUUACAUCCAACCAUUAAAAAAGUAUAUUUUGCCAUGAGAUAAACAAUGAGACCCUGCACGAGAUGAAAUAUUUCCAUGGUCACUCGUCAUCUCCUUACAGAGAAUUACUAAGAUUUUAUUAAAACAGUGUAGAUUAUGAGAGUAUGGUGACUCUAAAGUGAAGUUUACAUUCAGAUGACCCCCAGGCCCGCGUAUGGAGCUCCGGUUCUGUAGCUGAAGAUGGGACAGAGGUGCAGGGAGAGCUGCAGUCGCGUUCUCGGAGGCAUGGCCCCGUGUUGAUCGGACACGUCAUGUUCAGUCAGUGCCAUGCAGGUGUGCAGCGGACGGUCUGGCUGAGGCCGGGGGUGCCACGGUCCCCCCGUCUGCUGAGUAGUAGCAAAGCUGAAUAUUUUCCUGGAAACAUUUUGUGCGCCCCUGGGGUGUGCUGCUGGGGACAAUGGGAAGUCUUUGGAACUCAGGAGCAGCGCACGCUUGGUAUUUGUGCUGGAAGAUGACCAGCCACAGACUGGAGAUCAGGAUGGCCCGAGACCAGGGCCACUGCUGACCCUGGGCAGGGAGGACACAGUGUGGCAGAGGCCUGCAUUGGUGGGAUGGGAGGAGGCCUUGCUGGAGAGCUCAGAGGUGGAAUAUGGUGGUCUCAUGUGGCUUCUCUUACCACAGACCCCAAGACAAAGGUGCCCACUGGUGGGAGGCUAUGACCAUUGUGCUGAGUCGCACGACCUGGAGCAUCUCUGAGAGAGCAGAACUCACCGUCCCCACUGCAUAGCUCUUCAGGCCCAGGGCUUUCGAGGAAGAAACAGGUGAUCAUCUUCCACCUGGCAGCUCCCAGGAGACGGGUGGGGUCAGUGGACCCUGUUCGCAGAACUAAAGGCGGGAAGACCGUGGCUUCCAUUCACCUCCUCAGAAGUGAGCCAAGGGCCCUGGGCUGGCGACAAGGACUCUAAGGAGCUUGCGGGACCGUGCGGUGUUCGUGACGACAAGGACUCUAAGAAGCUUGCAGGACCGUGCGGUGUUCGUGACGACAAGGACUCUAAGAAGCUUGCAGGACUGUGCGGUGUUCGUGACGACAAGGACUCUAAGAAGCUUGCAGGACUGUGCGGUGUUCGUGACUUCCCCUUGCCUGUUGUUUUUAAAAUCUUUUGUUAGUUUCUCUGUAGUUAUUGGCAGAAAAAUCUUUAUUCGUGCCCCUGUUCAAGAUUAGCAAGAAAGAGGAAAUGUGGAAAAGCCACAUCCUGUUUUGCAGCCAGGCUUGUGUGUGGUGGAGGGACAGGGGACAGGACCCUACGGGAUGGGAUGAAGAGGGAUAAAGACGGCCUGGGAUGGAGACGGUGGGAAGGCGCCUGUGAUUCCUUAGAGCAGCACAGGCGGUGCAGAGGCUCCAGCUGGGGUCUGGAGGAUGAGGCUGCCAUCAAGCUCCACCAUGGGCCCUGGGGAGGGGUAGGCAGGGCAGGGGGACAGCCAGAGGAUGGGGAAGAGGAAUGGGUGUACCAUAGACCUACGGUGACAUGGAACAGGCACUAGUAGGAAGGCAGCCGGGUGUUUGGGGGCCCGGGCCACAGCAGAUUUCAACAAUAACAUGGACAAAACAUGGAAAGAGCAAAGAAGACAGUGCAGGUGGCCCACAAGCACAUGGAAAGGCACUUAGCUUCACCAGUCAGCAGGGAAAUGCGAAUCAAAACCACAGUGGGUCGUCACUUCACACCCUUUAGGAUGGGUAUUGUAAAAACAAAAACCAGAAAAGAACACGCACUGAUGAGGGCGUAGAGAGAUUGGAACCCUUGUGUGCUGUUGGUGAGAAUGUGAAAUGAUGCAGCUGCUCCAGAAAACAGCACGGCGGUGUAUUAGUCAGGGUUCUCCAGAGGGACAGAACUAAUGGAAUAGAUACAUAUAUAUGAAGGGGAGUUUAUUAAGUAUUAACUCACACAAUCACAGGGUCCCACAAUAGGCCGUCUGCAGGCUGAGGAGCAAGGAGAGCCAGUCCCAGUUCCAAAACAGAAGAACUUGGAGUCUGAUGUUCAAGAGCAGGAAGCAUCCAGCACGGGAGAAAGAUGUAGUCUGGGAGGCUAAGCCAGUGUCUGUUUUCACAUUUUUCUGCCUGCUUUAUAUUCUAGCCGCCGUGGCAGCUGAUUAGAUGGAGCCCAUCCGGAUUGAGGGUGGAUCUGCCUUUCCCAGCACACUGACUCAAAUGUUCAUCUCCUUUGGCAACACCCUCAGAGACACACCCAGGAUCAAUACUUUGUAUCCCUCAAUCCAAUCCAGUUGACACUCAGUAUCAACCAUCACAG